rnacentral:rRNA from 1 species
UACGAGGGGGGGCAAGCGUUGUUCGGAAUUAUUGGGCGUAAAGGGUGCGUAGGCGGUUUGGUAAGUCUGAUGUGAAAUCUAUGGGCUCACUCAUAGUCUGCAUCGGAAACUGCCGGGCUUGAGUGUGGGAGAGGUGAGUGGAAUUCCUGGUGUAGCGGUGAAAUGCGUAGAUAUCAGGAGGAACACCUGUGGCGAAAGCGGCUCACUGGACCAUAACUGACGCUGAUGCACGAAAGCUAGGGGAGCAAACAGG